GUCUCGGUCCCCAUUACAGCGCGUGGGCGGCGAUCCAGCACGAGGAGGCGCAGAUCCACAGGCCGAAGGAGAUGCAGACGCGGUGGCGAGCGAAGCAGCGGUCCAGGGAGAGCCUCAGCUGCACUACAAAAAAUGGUCCAGAGAAAAUGUGAAGAGGAAGGUCACCUCCUGGAGGGAGACACAGAGCUCUCUUCUCUCCUCCACCACGUGCCAGGAGCAUCUGUCUUCGGGCUUUAACUACGAUCCCUGUCUCUGCCGUGCCUCCCGAAUGAGCUAUCUGCAGGUCAGAGAUCCCAAACUUUAGACACAUAUGUAACUGCCUAUGUGACAUUUUCACUUGCAUGUCUUAACUGAACAGGUCUAAAACCAAACUGGCAAUUUUCCCUCUCAAAGCUGCUCCUUGGUGGUCUUCCCUACACAGGUGAUUGGGCAUCCUGGUCCAAGGGGUGGAGGUGUGGGGACAGCCGGGCAACUGCCCUUUUCCUCCGUUAGGGCAUCUCUCAAACGCAAUGAGUGUUGUCUUUCUACCAGGCUGUGAGCGCCUUGCAGCCAGGGUUGUUUAGUUCUUAUCUGUCUCCCCAGCUCAGUGCCUGGCACAUAGUAAGGAAAAUAUUUACUGAUGAAAAUAUUGGUUUUUAACAGGUUGUGAAAAUGUGAUAUGUAUGUUAGAGCAUAUUGAAAAUGCUUUGAUGAUGUAUAACAUUGGGUGUGUGGGUAUGUUCGGGAAGGCUUUCAAGAAAUGCAUGAACUGGGCUUUGGAGGGUAAGUUUGCUUUUGGUGAUGAGGCCAUGGCACCAGUCCUGCAAAGGUGCUCCUGGAGGUGGGAAGAGCGCGGCCUGGGGGUGCAGGCAAUAGCAGGGGUGCUGCAGUGCAGAUACGAGGUGGGCUAGAGACGCAGUCUCCGCCUGGUCUGUCGGAAGGGAACCAGGACUUCAUCCUGUCGGGGGAUGAUGCAUUCUAAUCAACUCCCUCCGGGCCAAUAGGACCCCCCCUCCCCCGCCAAUUCUCCCAGUACCUUCCAUAGGGCUCUCCACAUUCAGAAAGUGAAUCAGUUCCUUUAUCAGGCUCCUCUGAGGCCCAGAAACUAAUGUUUUUUGGCCAUGGUCCCGAGUUUGCCGGAAAGAAAAACUAACAAGAGUACUAUAACACACACCCUCCCUCCACAGCUCCUAAGCGUCUCCUGUUGGCAGAAGCUCCACGGGCAUUGUCCUGAAGAAGGAAAGGGCCUCCGCGGGCUGGGCGGUCCUGCAGGAGCUGGCAGCCAAUCGGGCCAUAAAUCCCAGCUGCCUGGGGCAGGGAUGGCGUGGGUGGGGGUGGGGUGGGAGAGGGUGGUUGGAGAACAGACCUGCUGCUCACUCAACAGCUUUUCUCUCGUGAGAACACAUUGCCUCCUGCCAGUGUUCUCAUAAAGUGCAUUAUUCAGAGGAAGGGCUUGUGGCUACUCCUCAAACAAUAACACACACACACACACACACACACACACACACACACACACACACACACAAAGAGCUCUACUGUCAGCUUGAUUUACCCGCUAUAAAUACAGAGAAGUUAAUUCUAAGAGAAUGCAUUUUGAAAUACUGGCCUUUCCAAAUCUUCAUCAGUCCCAUUGUGGACAUGUUGGGGUGUCGUGACAGAAGCAGGUGGUAGGACUGCUGGGAUCUUGGGUUCUAUUUAAAACUCUUGUCAACACGCUGUAUGAUCUUGUGAAGAUUUCUUUACUUUUUCCCCCUCAAGUUCCUUAUUAAUAACAUCUGGUUGCCGAAAGUCACUUUAAGAUGCUCAGGAGCUGGGCAAGCGUUAAUCAAACUGACAGAUGUUGAAAUGUUACAGCAAGGAAAGUCCUUCUUUAAAGGGGCUUUAAAACAAAGCAGCUCACCUUUUAAAGAGCCAACUGUCAGGGUGGGUAUAGCUCAGUAGUAGAGUGCAUGCUUAGCAUGCAGGAGGUCCUGAGUUCAAUCCCCACUAUCUCUGUUAAAAAAAUAAGUAAAGAGCCAACUAAAUCGAAUUCAGUACUUGAAUAUUUGCAUUGAAAUAAUUAAAGAGAAAUGUAAGUUCUCACUGCAGUUUGCCAUUCGGAGAGAAACCAGCAUCCUGCCAAGUUCCUAUGUGCCAAUAUGGGAGGGAGCUGGAUAACCCCACUUCCCAAAAGCCAAAAAAGACAGGAGUUCUGCAUGGUCCUGUUAAUUGUAAUAACUGAUUCUACUGUCUUUCGGUACAAUUCUAUCCGGGCUUCUGAACGGCUCCUGGGCCCUUAACUGUCUACUCUUAUGACGCCUCAAGCCCUAAUUUUUUAUUUUGAAAAAUUUCAAAACCACAAAAGAGUGAAAGAAUACCCACCUAGGUUCACCAGGUGUUAACAUUUUGCAGAUUUGUUCUCUCUCACUCCACUCAGAACCAUUUGAAACUGCAGGUAUUUUACCCCAAAAUGCAUCAGCAUGUGUCUCCAAGGAUAUUCUCCAACAUAACACACUUUUAUUACGCUGAUAAAAUAUUCUUAUCUAAUGUGUAAUCCCAGGGUGGAGGAGGGGGAAUUGGAUGACAGUCGACAAAAAGUACAAGCUUCCAGAUGUAAGAUAGAUAAGUACUAGGGAUGUAAUGUACACAGGAUAAAUAUAAUUAACACUGUUUUAUCUUAUGUGUGAAAGUUGUUAUGAGAGUAAGUCCUAAGAAUUCUCAUCACAAGAAGUUUUUCUGUUUCUUUAAUUUUUUACCUGUAUGAGAUGAUAUUCAUUAAACUUACUGUGAUAAUCACUUCAA